rnacentral:tRNA from 1 species
ACUGAAAUAGUCCAGUUGGGAGAACAUUAGGCUAUAAAUCGAAAGGUCCCUGGUUGGAUUCCGGGGUUCGGCA